AAGAGGUCCAGCCUGCCCAGUGACUCUGUUCAACGGCCGCGGUAUCCUAACCGUGCGAAGGUAGCGUAAUCACUUGUUCUUUAAAUGAGGACUUGUAUGAACGGCACCACGAGGGUUAUACUGUCUCCUUUUUCUAAUCAGUGAAACUAAUCUCCCCGUGAAGAAGCGAGGAUGAAAAUAUAAGACGAGAAGACCCUAUGGAGCUUAAAACAACAUAGCACUUAUUACACAACUUUUGAUUUCCCGAAUCUUCAUCACAACAGAUAACAUGACUAUGAGUUUUUGGUUGGGGUGACCACGGAGCAAAACACAACCUCCAUGUUGAAAGAAUUAACUUCUAAACUAAGAACCACGCUUCUAAGAAUCAAUAUCUUGACAUCAAUUGACCCAAUAUAUUUGAUCAACGAACCAAGUUACCCUAGGGAUAACAGCGCAAUCCACUUCAAGAGCCCCUAUCGACAAGUGGGUUUACGACCUCGAUGUUGGAUCAGGGUUUCCCAGUGGUGCAGCCGCUACUAAAGGUUCGUUUGUUCAACGAUUAAAACCCUACG
rnacentral:rRNA from 1 species